UACGUAGGAUGCAAGCGUUGUCCGGAUUUAUUGGGUUUAAAGGGUGGGAAGGCGGCCUUUUAAGUUAGUGGUGAAAACGUUCGCUUUAACCGGAUACCCGCCAUUGAUACUGAUAGACUUGAGUGCGACAGAGGGUGUUGGAAUGUGUGGUGUAGAGGUGAAAUGCUUAGAUAUCACGCAGAACACCAAUUGCGAAGGCAGAUGCCUAUGUCGUAACUGACGCUGAGGCACGAAAGCGUGGGGAGCAAACAGG
rnacentral:rRNA from 1 species